GACGAACGCUGGCGGCGUGCUUAACACAUGCAAGUCGAACGGAAAGGCCCUGCUUUUGUGGGGUGCUCGAGUGGCGAACGGGUGAGUAACACGUGAGUAACCUGCCCUUGACUUUGGGAUAACUUCAGGAAACUGGGGCUAAUACCGGCUAGGAGCUCCUGCUGCAUGGUGGGGGUUGGAAAGUUUCGGCGGUGGGGGAUGGACUCGCGGCUUAUCAGCUUGUUGGUGGGGUAGUGGCUUACCAAGGCUUUGACGGGUAGCCGGCCUGAGAGGGUGACCGGCCACAUUGGGACUGAGAUACGGCCCAGACUCCUACGGGAGGCAGCAGUGGGGAAUAUUGCACAAUGGGCGGAAGCCUGAUGCAGCAACGCCGCGUGCGGGAUGACGGCCUUCGGGUUGUAAACCGCUUUCGCCUGUGACGAAGCGUGAGUGACGGUAAUGGGUAAAGAAGCACCGGCUAACUACGUG
rnacentral:rRNA from 1 species